AUGAAAUCGAACACUACCAGACAAGUUUGAUUUUAUCUGAAUCUUUAUUGAAAAAAAAGAAGAAGUUAUUCACCCGUCACUAUAAUAUUUAUACUAAAUUCCAUCAAUUCAUUAAACGUGAUGGUUGCGCUCUUGGAUGAUUAAUUAAUCACCAGACCAAUGAAGAGACUCUCCAGAAUAUGCAUUUUAAUAAAAGAAAAUUUGUUAAAAUUUUGACAAUCGACCUUUCAAUAGAAUGUACUAUUUAAUAAUCGAUCACCAGAUCAAUGAAGAGACUCUCUAGAAUGUGCAUUUUAAUAAAAAAGAAUUUGUUGAAAUUUCGACAAUCGACCUUUCGGUAGAAUGUACUGGGAAAUGAAGUGCAGCCAAAGAAUUAGG
rnacentral:misc_RNA from 1 species